rnacentral:misc_RNA from 1 species
GUGAAUCAUCAAAUUUUUGAACGCAAAUUGCACUCUCUUCGGAGAGUAUGCGUGUUUCAGUGUCAGCCUAAAUUAAAUUGACAUAGUUGCUGUUACGCGGUAACAUUCGUCGGAAAUUGGCUCAUCUUAAACCUUUGGGUUUAAGCGGCUUAAAAUUUUCUUUACGAUUCCAAGAACGUUUCUAUGCUUUCAUCUUCUUAUACGUUUCAGGUAUCGUCCUUUAUUAGACUAGGCCGUUU